rnacentral:lncRNA from 1 species
CUGGUAAUGGGACCUCUAUUGAUGUUGUUUAGGAUCCAUAUCUCCUCUAUUCCUAUUGGAUGAUGGCCUAUUCCUGCGGACGUAAGUGCAUUGCAACAUUUUAAAGUAAAAGAUUUGAUAGUGGAUGGUGAGCAAGUAUGGAAUACAUCUAUAGUUAAGCUUUUUUUUCUGACAAUAUGGGAGAUAGUAUUCUUUCUAUACAUAUCCCGGGUGGUGAUUGUGUUGAUAGAUUGGGAUGGAG